rfam:Triticum aestivum genome assembly, contig: Triticum_aestivum_CS42_TGACv1_scaffold_457120_5DS
UAUAUACUCCCUCCGUCCGGAAUUACUUGUCGCAAAAAUGAAAUGGAUGUAUCUAGAACUAAAAUACGUCUAGAUACAUCCAUUUCUCUGACAAGUAAUUCCGGACGGAGGGAGUAUAUG